rnacentral:rRNA from 1 species
UGCAAGUAGAACGCUGAAGAGAGGAGCUUGCUCUUCUUGGAUGAGUUGCGAACGGGUGAGUAACGCGUAGGUAACCUGCCUUGUAGCGGGGGAUAACUAUUGGAAACGAUAGCUAAUACCGCAUAACAAUGGAUGACACAUGUCAUUUAUUUGAAAGGGGCAAUUGCUCCACUACAAGAUGGACCUGCGUUGUAUUAGCUAGUAGGUGAGGUAAUGGCUCACCUAGGCGACGAUACAUAGCCGACCUGAGAGGGUGAUCGGCCACACUGGGACUGAGACACGGCCCAGACUCCUACGGGAGGCAGCAGUAGGGAAUCUUCGGCAAUGGGGGCAACCCUGACCGAGCAACGCCGCGUGAGUGAAGAAGGUUUUCGGAUCGUAAAGCUCUGUUGUAAGUCAAGAACGGGUGUGAGAGUGGAAAGUUCACACUGUGACGGUAGCUUACCAGAAAGGGACGGCUAACUACGUGCCAGCAGCCGCGGUAAUACGUAGGUCCCGAGCGUUGUCCGGAUUUAUUGGGCGUAAAGCGAGCGCAGGCGGUUUGAUAAGUCUGAAGUUAAAGGCUGUGGCUCAACCAUAGUUCGCUUUGGAAACUGUCAAACUUGAGUGCAGAAGGGGAGAGUGGAAUUCCAUGUGUAGCGGUGAAAUGCGUAGAUAUAUGGAGGAACACCGGUGGCGAAAGCGGCUCUCUGGUCUGUAACUGACGCUGAGGCUCGAAAGCGUGGGGAGCGAACAGGAUUAGAUACCCUGGUAGUCCACGCCGUAAACGAUGAGUGCUAGGUGUUGGAUCCUUUCCGGGAUUCAGUGCCGCAGCUAACGCAUUAAGCACUCCGCCUGGGGAGUACGACCGCAAGGUUGAAACUCAAAGGAAUUGACGGGGGCCCGCACAAGCGGUGGAGCAUGUGGUUUAAUUCGAAGCAACGCGAAGAACCUUACCAGGUCUUGACAUCCCGAUGCUAUUUCUAGAGAUAGAAAGUUACUUCGGUACAUCGGUGACAGGUGGUGCAUGGUUGUCGUCAGCUCGUGUCGUGAGAUGUUGGGUUAAGUCCCGCAACGAGCGCAACCCCUAUUGUUAGUUGCCAUCAUUCAGUUGGGCACUCUAGCGAGACUGCCGGUAAUAAACCGGAGGAAGGUGGGGAUGACGUCAAAUCAUCAUGCCCCUUAUGACCUGGGCUACACACGUGCUACAAUGGUUGGUACAACGAGUUGCGAGUCGGUGACGGCGAGCUAAUCUCUUAAAGCCAAUCUCAGUUCGGAUUGUAGGCUGCAACUCGCCUACAUGAAGUCGGAAUCGCUAGUAAUCGCGGAUCAGCACGCCGCGGUGAAUACGUUCCCGGGCCUUGUACACACCGCCCGUCACACCACGAGAGUUUGUAACACCCGAAG